CAUAAUUGAAAUUAUCUCCCUUACACUGCUUUUAAAUUAUGUAUAAAGUAAUGGUUAAUGAACAAUAAAGAUAAUUUAAAACAGUGUAAGGGAGGUAAUCCAAAUACAAUGUUUUGGUUACUUCCCUUACACUGCUUUUAAAUUAUGUUUAAAGAAAUGCAUAUUUAUAAAGGAAGACCAGUAUGGCGCAUUAGAUUUGUAAAAUCUAUGACCACAUUUAUUUGUUAUGCCGAAUCUAACCGUGUAUUUAGAUUUUUAAUUUUGGGUCCAGUUUUCAAAUUGGUCUACAUUAAGGUCCAAAGGGUCCAAAAUUAAACUUUGUUUGAUUUUAACAAAAAUUGAAUAUAUGGGGUUCUUUUAUAUGCUGAAUCUAAACAUGUAUUUAGAUUUUAGAUUUUUGGCCCAGUUUUCAAGUUGGUCCAAAUUGGGGUCCAAAAUUAAACUUUGUUUGAUUUCAACAAAAAUUGAAUAUAUGGGGUUCUUUGAUAUGCUGAAUCUUACCAUGUAUUUAGAUUUUUUAUUUGUGGGCCCGCUAUCAAAUUGGUUCAUAUUGAGGUCAAAAGGGUCCAAAAUUAAACUUUGUUUGAUUUCAUCAAAAAUUUAAUUAUUUGGGUUCUUUGAUAUGCCAAAUCUAACCGUGUAUUUAGAUUUUUAAUUUUGGGUCCCGUUUUUAUACGACCGCAAAAAAAAUUUUGUGGUCGUAUAUUGGUACGACGUCGUCGUCGUCGUCUGGCGUCGUCCGAAGACACAUUGGUUUUCGCACUCUAACUUUAGUUUAAGUGAAUGGAUCUCUAUGAAAUUUUACCACAAGGUUCAAAACCACAAAAGGAAGGUUGGGAUUGAUUUUGGGGUUUAUGGUACCAACAGUAAAGGAAUUAGGGGCCAAAAAGGGGCCAAAAAUAAGCAUUUUUGUAACUUCCAGACAUAACUUGUGUGUUAGUGUAUGGAUCUCUCUGACAUUGUACCACAAGGUUCCAUAUCACAAAAGGAAUGCUGGGAUUGAUUUUGGGGGUAAUUGCCUCAAAAUUUUAGGAAUUAGGGGCCAAAAAAGGGGCAAAAAACAAGCAUUUUUCUAGUUUCAUGACAAUAACUUGUGUGUAAGUGUAUGGAACUUUCUGAAAUUGUACUACAAGGUUCCAUAUCACAAAGGGAAAGCUGGAAUUGAGUUUGGGGGUAAUUGCCGAAACGUUUAGGAAUUGGGGGCCAAAAAGGGGCCAAAAAUAAGCAUUUUUCUAGUUUCCAGACAAUAACUUGUGUUCAAGUGUAUGGAUCUCUCUGAAAUUGUACUGCAAGGUACCAUACCACAAAGGGAAGGCUGGGAUUGAUGAUGGGGGUAAUUGCCUCAAUAUUUUAGGAAUUAGGGGCCAAAAAGGGGCAAAAAACAAGCAUUUUUCUAGUUUCAGGACAAUAACUUGUGUGUAAGUGUAUGGAUCUCUCUGAAAUUGUACUAAAAUUGAGAAUGGAAAUGGGGAAUGUGUCAAAGAGACAACAACCCGACCACAGAACAGACAACAGCAGAAGGCCACCAACAGGUCUUCAAUGCAGCGAGAAAUUCCCGCACCCGGAGGCGUCCUUCAGCUGGCCCCUAAACAAAUAUAUAUACUCGUUCAGUGAUAAUGAACGCCAUACUAAACUCCAAAUUGUACACAAGAAACUAAAAUUAAAAAUAAUACAAGACUAACAAAGGCUAGAGGCUCCUGACUUGGGACAGGCGCAAAAAUGCGGCGGGGUUAAACAUGUUUAUGAGAUCUCAACCCUCCCCCUAUACCUCUAGCCAAUGUAGAAAAGUAAACGCAUAACAAUACGCACAUUAAAAUUCAGUUCAAGAGAAGUCCGAGUCUGAUGUCAGAAGAUGUAACCAAAGAAAAUAAACAAAAUGACAAUAAUACAUAAAUAACAACAGACUACUAGCAGUUAACUGACAUGCCAGCUCCAGACUUCAAUUAAACUGAUUGAAAGAUUAUGUCUUCAUCAUAUGAAUAUCAGGGUUCCAUAUCACAACGGGAAAGCUGGGUUUGAGUUUGGGGGUAAUUGCCCUAAACGUUUAGGAAUUUGGGGCCAAAAAGGGGCCAAAAAACACAUUUUUCUAGUUUCCUGACAAUAACUUGUGUUCAAGUGUAUGGAUCUCUCUGAAAUUGUACUGCAAGGUACCAUACCACAAAGGGAAGGCUGGGAUUGAGUUUGGGGGUGAUGAAUCAUAAGGGGGUUCAAAAAAUUUGGGGGGGGAUUUUUUUUUUUUCCUUUUUUUUCUUUUUUUCCUUUUUUUUUUCUUUUAAAAUUUUCCAUUUUAAGUUGGUUAUUUCUGAUUUAUAUUUAAAAGCAAAUAAUAAUGAUAUGGGAGGAGAUACACACAAAACAGGAUGUGUAAAUUAUUAUAUAAUAAGUAUUGUGCAAUAGCAAGAAAUUUUCAAUUGCACAGUAUUGCACAAUAGCAAGAAAUCUUCAAUUGCACAGUAUUGCGCAAUAGCAAGAAAUCUUCAAUUGCACAGUAUUGCCCAAUAGCAAGAAAUAUCCAAUAGCACAAUAUUGCGCAAUAGCAAGAAAUUGUCAAUUGUACAGUAUUGCGCAAUAGCAAGAAAUAUUUAAUUGCACAGUAUUGUGCAAAAGAAGAUACUUCGUAUAAAUUGCUUAGUUCUUGACCAAUUUCAAUGGGGUUUUAUUCUUGGAAUUCUUGGGGUUCUUUAAUAUGCUGAAUCUAACCGUGUAUUUAGUUUUUGGAUUUUGGGCCCCGUUUUAAAAUUGGUCCACAUUGAGGUCCAAAGGGUCCAAAAUUAAACUUUGUUUGAUUUCAUCAAAAAUUGAAUUAUUGGGGUUCUUUGAUAUGCUGAAUCUAACCAUGUAUUUAGAUUCUUUGUUUUUGGUUCGGUUUUCAAAUUGAUCUACAUUAAGGUCCAAAGGGUCCAAAAUUAAACUUAGUUUGAUUUUAACAAAAGUUGAAUUCUUAGGGUUCUUUGAUAUGCUGAAUCUUAACAUGUAUUUAGAUUUUUGAUUAUGGGCCCAGUUUUCAAGUUGGUCCAAAUCGGGGUCCAAAAUUUAACUUUGUUUGAUUUCAACAAAAAUUGAAUAUAUGGGGUUCUUUGAUAUGCUGAAUCUAACCAUGUAUUUAGAUUUUUGAUUUUUGGGCCCCGUUAUCAACUUUGUCCACAUUGAGGUCAAAAGGGUCCAAAUUAAACUUUGUUUGAUUUCAUCAAAAAUUGAAUUAUUGGGGUUCUUUGAUAUGCCAAAUCUAACCGUGUUUUUAGAUUUUUAAUUUUGGGUCCCGUUUUUUAAAUUGGUCUACAUUAAGGUCCAAAGGGUCCAAAAUUAAACUUAGUUUGAUUUUAACAAAAAUUGAAUUCUUGGGGUUCUUUGAUAUGCUGAUUCUAAACAUGUGUUUAGAUUUUUGAUUAUGGGCCCAGUUUUCAAGUUGGUCCAAGUUGGGGUCCAAAAUUAAACUUUGUUUGAUUUCAACAAAAAUUGAACAUAUGAGGUUCUUUGAUAUGCUGAAUCUUACCAUGUAUUUAGAUGUUUUAUUUGUGGGCCCCGCUAUCAAAUUGGUUCAUAUUGAGGUCAAAAGGGUCCAAAAUUAAACUUUGUUUGAUUUCAUCAAAAAUUGAAUUAUUGGGGUUCUUUGAUAUGCCAAAUCUAACCGUGUUUUUAGAUUUUUAAUUUGGGUCCCGUUUUUUAAAUUGGUCUUCAUUGAGGUCCAAAGGGUCCAAAAUUAAACUUAGUUUGAUUUUAACAAAAAUUGAAUUCUUGGGGUUCUUUGAUAUGCUGAUUCUAAACAUGUGUUUAGAUUUUUUAUUAUGGGCCCAGUUUUCAAGUUGGUCCAAGUUGGGGUCCAAAAUUAAACUUUGUUUGAUUUCACCAAAAAUUGAAUAUAUGGGGUUCUUUGAUAUGCUGAAUCUAACCAUGAAUUUAGAUUUUUUAUUUGUGGGCCCCGCUAUCAAAUUGGUUUAUAUUGAGGUCAAAAGGGUCCAAAAUUAAACUUUGUUUGAUUUCAUCAAAAAUUGAAUUAUUGGGGUUCUUUGAUAUUCCAAAUCUAACCGUGUAUUUAGAUUUUUAAUAUUAAGUCCCGUUUUUUAAAUUGGUCUACAUUAAGGUCCAAAGGGUCCAAAAUUAAACUUAGUUUGAUUUUAGCAAAAAUUGAAUUCUUGUGGUUCUUUGAUAUGCUGAAUAUAAACAUGUGUUUAGAUUUUUGAUUAUGGGCCCAGUUUUCAAGUUUGUCCAAGUUGGGGUCCAAAAUUAAACUUUGUUUGAUUUUAACAAAAAUUGAAUAUAUGGGGUUCUUUGAUAUGCUGAAUCUAACCAUGUAUUUUGAUUUUGGACAUUGGACCAUAAUAGGUAAAUUAAAAAAAUUCAAGUUCUUAGACCACAUUCUUUCUGUGUCAGAAACCUAUGCUGUGUCAAAUAUUUAAUCACAAUCCAAAUUCAGAGCUGUAUCAAGCUUCAAUGUUGUGUCCAUACUUGCCCCAACUGUUCAGGGUUCGACGUCUGCGGUCGUAUCAAGCUGCGCCCCAGCGAAGCAUUUUAUUUGUUAUUA